rnacentral:rRNA from 1 species
CGGGAGGCAGCAGUAGGGAAUCUUCCGCAAUGGACGAAAGUCUGACGGAGCAACGCCGCGUGAGUGAUGAAGGUUUUCGGAUCGUAAAGCUCUGUUGUUAGGGAAGAACAAGUGCCGUUCAAAUAGGGCGGCACCUUGACGGUACCUAACCAGAAAGCCACGGCUAACUACGUGCCAGCAGCCGCGGUAAUACGUAGGUGGCAAGCGUUGUCCGGAAUUAUUGGGCGUAAAGGGCUCGCAGGCGGUUUCUUAAGUCUGAUGUGAAAGCCCCCGGCUCAACCGGGGAGGGUCAUUGGAAACUGGGGAACUUGAGUGCAGAAGAGGAGAGUGGAAUUCCACGUGUAGCGGUGAAAUGCGUAGAGAUGUGGAGGAACACCAGUGGCGAAGGCGACUCUCUGGUCUGUAACUGACGCUGAGGAGCGAAAGCGUGGGGAGCGAACAGGAUUAGAUACCCUGGUAGUCCACGCCGUAAACGAUGAGUGCUAAGUGUUACGGGUUUCCGCCCUUAGUGCUGCAGCUAACGCAUUAAGCACUCGCUGGGGAG